rnacentral:ncRNA from 2 species
CAUACAUGCUGGGGGAGUCAGUGGACUGAGAGGAUGAAAUCCGACCCUUUGAACUUGAUGCGGUUUAUACCGACGUAAGGAAGCAGGAAAUCUGUUUG